rnacentral:lncRNA from 10 species
AGUCUGUUCUCAUGCUGCUAAUAAAGACACACCUGAGACUGGGUAAUUUAUAAAGAAAAAGAGGUUUAACGGACUCACAUUUCCACAUGGCUUGGAAGGCCUCACAAUCAUGGUGGAAGGUGAAAGCCUCCCGGGUUCACGCCAUUCUCCUGCCUCAGCCUCCCAAGUAGCUGGGACAACAGGCACCCACCACCACGCCUGGCUAAUUUUUUGUAAUUUUUUAUUAGAGACAGGGUUUCACCAUGUUAGCCAGGAUGGUCUCGAUCUCCUGACCUCAUGAUCCACCCACCUCGGCCUCCCAAAGUGCUGAGAUUACAGGCGUGAGCCACGACGCCCAGCCGUGAAAGGCACUUCUUACAUGGCAGCAGGCAAGAGAGCAUGGGAGCAAAGCAAAAGGGGAAACAGCUUAUAAAACCACUGAUCUCAUGAGA